UCCCUGCCGUUUGGAGUGCUCUGCCUCUGCCUCAUGCAAAAAGCAGGUCAUCCUCAAAACUCCAAAAGUAAAAUACCCAUUCGAAAAAUUGAAAUUCCAAAAUCUUUCUAACUUCAAAGAAAUUUCAUCAAAUGGUGAAAGCAUGAAUAUCCAAAUCUUGCUAGUCGAGUUGUUUCUUGGGUCACUUUAGGGAUAGUUGCUGCUUUGAUGCCAUAUGUUGGUGGAGAAAGUGGUUAACUUUGAUACAGAAGAUCCUCAUCCCAGAAAUAGCUUAAUUUUGUGUUAGAACUUGGAUGCUUUUCUUCUAAAAUAUCAUAGACCCCCUAAAAAUUUCAAGUAUUGUUUGGACAGAGGCCGCGCGUACGCAGGCCCCCACUAUCACAAAUUAUGACGUAGACUCUCCCAUUUGGGGAGAUCUUAGGCUGCUGCUCCUCCUUAAAGUGCAAUGGAAGUCAACAACCUAGGCCAUAAGCCUAUUUGAUCACUUAUAGACCCCAUCCAGAGGGAGAUGCACAAAAAAAGGUUCAUCCUCGUUUAUGUACAUGAUCAUGGGUUGUAGAUAGACUCCAAGCAACAACUGAGCGUUGUUCUUCAUCUUGAACUGAUGUUGUGCGACGUUUCUUCUCAGUACUGUAAACAGCUCCAACAGUUUAAAAGCUGAACAAUACCAAUUGUUGGAUGCUUCAGAGGCUGAAUAUUUUUUAAAAAGGCAAGAGUUUUGGAUACUGGAAGAUGUGAAGCUGAACGAGAAACCAGAAGGCGUGUGACAUUGAGACCUUCUGAGGAGAUCAGGAGAAUAUUGAGAGAGCAGAUGAGUAUACUUUAUGCUGAUACUGUACGUGUAAAAGUGAUACCACCAUACCAGAAGAAAGGAACCGAUUUCUGCAAUGUAAAACAGAAACAUUAGAGGCCGCGCGAACGCAGGCCCCCACUACCACAAAUUAUGACGUAGACUCUCCCAUUUGAGGAGAUCUUAGGCUGCUGCCCCUCCUUAAAGUGCAAUGGAAGUCAACAACCUAGGCCAUAAGCCUAUUUGAUCACUUAUAGACCCCGUCCAGAGAGGAGAUGCACAAAAAAGGUUGAUCCUCGUUUAUGUACAUGAUCAUGGGUUGUAGAUAGACUCCAAGCAACAUUUGAGCGUUGGGCUUCAUCUUGAACUGAUGUUGUGCGACAUUUCUUCUCAGUACUGUAAACAGCUCCAACAGUUUAAAAGCUGAACAAUACCAAUUCUUGGAUGCUUCAGAUGCUGAAUAUUUUUUAAAAAGGCAAGAGUUUGGAUACUGGAGCGGGAAUGUAUGAACGCAAAGAAAAUACUUGAACUCACAAAAGAAAUUGUAGUAAACACGCAAAUGGGGAUUAUAAAGUGGAUGAUGGUCAAGAUAAAAGUGCGAUGUAAUGGAUUUUUAGAAGCGUAAAGAGAGCAAAAAAAACAGAGGAAACAGGGGAGUGGGUUCAGGGAAGGAAAUUUUGGCAAUGUCUAUUCAUUGCAACACUAGUAGUGUAAAAAGGUGUUAAUUCGGAUUAUCGAGUUGAUCUCGGGUUAGAUAUUUUGGAUCUUUUUAAAAUCGGGUUUUGUAUCUAUAUUGGUUUGUACAUCGUUUUAAAUUGAUUUUGAAGUCGGAUAAAUAUUGGGUCAAUUUUCAAUACCUCUUACUAGUACAUAUUCGAGAGGUUAUUUUAUUAUGGAGACAUUUUUGAGCCAUUUGCACAUUUACAAGGAAAAUACUGUAAAUGUUCCAAAGAGACAGUUU